GACUGGGAGUGCUCAGAGAUGGGUAUGCCUCCUUGUGGGGCUGGUUCACAGGUGGUGCAUGGCUGUCGUCAGCUCGUGUCGUGAGAUGUUGGGUUAAGUCCCGCAACGAGCGCAACCCUCGUUCACUGUUGCCAGCACGUUAUGGUGGGGACUCAGUGGAGACCGCCGGGGUCAACUCGGAGGAAGGUGGGGAUGACGUCAAGUCAUCAUGCCCCUUAUGUCCAGGGCUUCACGCAUGCUACAAUGGCCGGUACAAAGAGUUGCGAGCCUGUGAGGGUGAGCGAAUCUCGGAAAGCCGGUCUCAGUUCGGAUUGGGGUCUGCAACUCGACCCCAUGAAGUCGGAGUCGCUAGUAAUCGCAGAUCAGCAACGCUGCGGUGAAUACGUUCCCGGGGCUUGUACACACCGCCCGUCAAGUCAUGAAAGUCGGUAACACCCGAAGCCGGUGGCCUAACCUGUGUGGGGGAGCCGUCGAAGGUGGGACUGGUAAUUAGGACUAAGUCGUAACAAGGUAGCCGUACCGGAAGGUGCGGCUGGAUCACCUCCUUUCUAAGGAG
rnacentral:rRNA from 1 species